rfam:Beta vulgaris subsp. vulgaris Bvchr5.sca002.con0227.1, whole genome shotgun sequence.
GUUGCGGUGGUCUCUGAUUCGCUUGGUGCAGGUCGGGAACUGGUUAUCGUUUUUUUUUUCUGAUUACUUCCGCCGCCAUUGGAGCAGCAGCAGUAAUCUUCGGAGAGAUAAUUAUUUUUUUCUUAUUUUUUUAUUUUUUUGGAAUUUUUUUUUAGAAAAUAUCUCUCUUCUGCUCAGUCGGUGGAUUACCGGAUCCCGCCUUGCAUCAACUGAAUCGGAGGCUGCGGUGAAC